rnacentral:rRNA from 1 species
CAGUCGCCACGGUAAUACGUAGGGUGCAAGCGUUAAUCGGAAUUACUGGGCGUAAAGCGUGCGCAGGCGGUUAUAUAAGACAGAUGUGAAAUCCCCGGGCUCAACCUGGGAACUGCAUUUGUGACUGUAUAGCUAGAGUACGGCAGAGGGGGAUGGAAUUCCGCGUGUAGCAGUGAAAUGCGUAGAUAUGCGGAGGAACACCGAUGGCGAAGGCAAUCACCUGGGCCUGUACUGACGCUCAUGCACGAAAGCGUGGGGAGCAAACAGGAUUAGAUACCCCCGUAGUCCCUGUCUCUUAUAC